UCAGAGAAAACAAUACUCAAGCCUAACUC
rnacentral:piRNA from 1 species